rnacentral:rRNA from 1 species
AUUGAACGCUGGCGGCAGGCCUAACACAUGCAAGUCGAACGAGCGGCGGACGGGUGAGUAAUGUAUGGGAAACUGGCUGAUGGAGGGGGAUAACUACGGGAAACGGUAGCUAAUAACGCAUACCAUCGGAUGUGCCCCUAUGGGAUUAGCUAGUAGGUGGGGUAAUGGCGCACCUAGGCGACGAUCCCUAGCUGGUAUGAGAGGAUGACCAGCCACACUGGAAAUGAGACACGGUCCAGACUCCUACGGUAGGCAGCAUUGGGGAAUAUUGCACAAUGGGCGCAAGCCUGAUGCAGCCAUGCCGAGUGUAUGAAGAAGGCCUUCGGGUUGUAAAGCACUUUCAGCUAGGAGGCGUUACUCGCAGAAGAAGCACCGGGUAACUCCGUGCCAGCAGCCGCGGUAAUAC